AUUUGGAGAUAGAUGAAUCUGGGCAUGAAUUUGAAGAACUCUAUUUCAAUUCAUUUUAAGGAUGUUUAGAGGAGAAUCAGGAUUGAGCAAUUGAUGAGGAUUUCCCACAUUCACAAUGAACAAGACGAAAAACAGGGAAGAACAUUAUCCCAUGAAAAUGUAAGUCUGACAAAAACAUUCACAAGUUGUUAUUUGAACUACCAUCUUCAUUGCUUGACCAUCUGCUAAAUGCACGAGCCACUAAAUUCCUACUUGCAAGCAGCCCAACCUUCGCUCCAAACAAUGCCGGUCUCCCGUUACGAAUCGAUGGACCAUCAGCAACAGCCACUUGACCACCCAUCACAGGAAACUCUAAACCACUUUCUUGACCUCCACCAUCGCUCAAACUAACAUCUAAACCUUCAUUGUCACUGGCAGCAUCAAUAUUAACAAGUAGUGAGGCUUUUUGCUGCUGCAAACAUUCCACAAAUUCACUGCUCACUCCCCUGCAUUGCUUCACCUUGAUCUUAACCAAAUUGGGACAUCCCCAAGCAAGAGCUUGGAUUGCAAUGUCAGAAAUAGCACAUCCCUUUAUACACAGCUUUUUCAAUGCCACGCAUUUAGCUGCAAUGCAAGCAAUCUCAUUAUCACCAAUGCUUCCACUCCCACACAGUGCUAAUCGUUCCAGUUUUUGGCAAUUAGCAGCAAUCGCUGCCAAGCUCGCAUGCGUCGCAUUAACACCAAUCAAAACCAGCUCUUGUAGAUUUGGACAUUGUUUGGCCACGGCCAUUAAACCCACAUCUCCAAUUGUAUUAGUCCUCCAUCCAUCUAUGUGAAGCUUCCUUAGUUGCUUGCAAUUCUCCGCCACACAAACAAGCCCUAAAUCCGAACAUUCUGGGGUUUUCACGAUGCGCAAAAUCUCCAUAUUUACACAUUUCGAAAUCGCUGCAAGACCAAUAUCACUCACUUGAAUCCUUUCAAGGUGAACAUCAAUCAAGAAACUGUUUUCGUUUCCAAUAAUUUGAAGUACCUUAUCCCAAUCACCCAAACACCGAAUAAUUUUCAAGGUUCUAAGAUUUUUAGCACCGAUCACAAGCUCUUCAAAAGACUGACCGUUGACUAGCUCCUUCAAGCAAAUUGAUUUCAAAGACGGAGCGGCAGCUCCAGACCUGAUCAUAUUGGCUCCGUCAUAGAUUCCCCUGAGCCUCUUAAUAGAGAGCUCCUCCAGCGCCUUGCAGUGAUCCAGCACCGCAUUUAUGCCCAUGGUGCCGAAAGCGCACGAGCCAAAAGAGAGCUUUCUCAAGUUCUUGCAAUUUUCAGCGAAUGCGGCCAUACCGUCGUCGGUGAUUUCUCGGCAGCCGCGGAUCUUAAGGCGCUCAAGUUUCUGACAACGGACGGAGAUCAUGACAAAAGCAUCAUCGUUUAAGCUUAUGGAUUUGCGAUCACAACGCAAAGCGAGUUUAGUGACCGAGUCGAACCGCGUGAACAGAGAAGGAACAUAAGAAAAAAUCUCCACUUUCGCGUGUAGAGAAAGCCGUUGGCGGCUAUUGCCGUCAACGAGUAACCACCGCCGGCAGACCAAGGAGCAUCGUUUUCGGUCUCCCGCAGAGAGGAAUUGGAAAAUGUAAGCCAAACACUCGUCAGGAAUAUCCUCCGUAUAAUCAACAUCAGCAGUUAUAUCGUCAGCGAGCUCUGGCAAUUGCGAUUCGGAAGAAACAAUAGGCGGAGGUAAAAUCCAAUCGAUGGCAGAAUUGGCGGUGGAAGCUGACUGGCCCAUUGGAAAGUGAAAACACGCGCCGCUUGAAGUGAUUUAUAUACUAUGUAAAAAAGAGUCAGUUUCUGCGUUUGGUAGUGUGUUCUGUUCUGUGGAGGUGGAGGUUUGGGAGGGGUAAAAUAUAGAUGGAGAUGGAGGGAGAAAAGUAGAUACAGCGUUUGACAUUGAUUCGCUUACUCCGUCAAAUGGGGUGCGUGUCCUCGUAGCAAUCACCAUGGCCGACCAUGAACUGAUUGCAGUGAUGGACGCGUAUAGUUAGUGGGCGUGGGUUUGCAUGUGACAAGGUGAAGCCGUUAAGGAAAUGAAUCGCUGCCGUUUAAACUUA
rnacentral:misc_RNA from 1 species